GCCCAUCCUGCUUAGGACCUCAACAGAGGAGCAAAGAGAGAAAUAAAAUGGGAUCGGAGGACAGAAGCUUUUUUUUUUUUUAACAUCUUUAUUGGAGUAUAACUGCUUUGUACUGUAUAACAGUUUCUGCAGUAUAACAAAGUGAAUCAGCUAUACAUAUACACAUAUCCCCAUAUCCCCUCCCUCUGGCGUCUCCCUCCCUCCCACCCUCCCUAUCCCACCCCUCUAGGUGGUCACAAAGCACCGAGCUGAUCUCCCUGGACAGAAGCCUUCUUGAUGACUCGAAGGACACCAGCUCAGGUGUUCCUUCUGAGAUGUUUAUGGCAAGAGGCAGGAGAUCCAACUAAAGAGAAAAGGAUCUGACAGCAAGUUGCUGACCCAGCGUACAGCACAGCUGCCCUCUCCUGUAGAAUGGGAAGAAGUCACCUUGUGUGCCUCUCUGUACCAUCAUCCUCAAUUCUCGAAAACAAGACCCUUCUAUCUUGGAAAAAUCUGGGAAAUGUUCCAUCGAGGCUGCUGAGGAAGGAAGCUAUGGUGGUUUGAAGGAAGAAACCCUGCCUGGGAAACAAGAGCAACACAGGGAGAGGGCUAUAGUCCUGUCUCAGCCAUGUGGCCUUGGAAAUGUCCUGUAGCCUCUGGGACCUCUCUUUCUCCAUCUAUCACACAAGGGGGGCUCUGAAGACCUUCCCACUUCACCAAUCUUGCCUUCACCUGGAGUAAACGCUGCCAUCCUUGUUCUCGUGGGUCUUCCACCAGCCCCAAGGCUCCCCUCAGCCCUGCUGACCCCAGAGGGCUACUCCUAGCCCCUGAGCCAAGAAUCUACCUUCUUUCCCUUUUGAGGAUUCGUAGUGCUCAGAAAUCAGCUGAUUUGGGGGGCCAACAUGGAAAAAGAACACUACAAGGAAA